UCCUUCGCCUUGAUGCCCGGGCCGCCAGCCAUGGCCACCGCGCCGCUCUCACAAGUGCGCCAGAACUACCACCCCGACUGCGAGGCCACCAUCAACAGCCAGAUCAACCUGGAGCUCUACGCCUCCUACGUGUACCUGUCCAUGGCCUUCUACUUCGACCGCGACGACGUGGCCUUGAAGAACUUCGCCCAGUUCUUCCUGCGCCAGUCCCGCGAGGAGACCGAGCAUGCCGAGAAGCUGAUGCAGCUGCAGAACCAGCGCGGCGGCCGCAUCCGCCUCCGCGACAUCAAGAAGCCAGACCGCGACGACUGGGAGAGCGGCCUGAAGGCCAUGGAGUGCGCCCUGCACCUGGAGAAGAGCGUGAACCAGUGCCUGCUCGACCUGCACCAGCUGGCCACCGACAAGAACGACGCCCACCUGUGCGACUUCCUGGAGAGCCACUACCUGCACGAGCAAGUCAAGUCCAUCAAAGAGCUGGGGGGCUAUGUCACCAACCUGCGCAAGAUGCGGGCUCCCGAAGACGGCAUGGCAGAGUACCUCUUUGACAAGCUCACCCUGGGCGACAGCGACAAAAAGAACUGAGUUGGGACUGUUUCCCCUAUAGCCCAGGGUGCAUGGUGACUUUCCCUGAUCACCAUGCCGAGCAUGCAUAUUGCAGCAUUGCCUUUGCAAAACGUUCCAGUUUUUUUCUUCCAGU